rnacentral:sRNA from 1 species
UUUCUUGGUCAAUUUGAGGAAGUAAAAGUCGUAACAAGGUUUCCGUAGGUGAACCUGCGGAAGGAUCAUUAUCGAAUAAACUUGAACAGGCUGUUGCUGGUCCCAGGACAAUGUGCACGCUUGUCAUCUUUAUCAUUUCUCCCAACUGUGCACAUAUUGUAGACCCUGGAGGUUUUUGGAUUUGUUCCGAGUGGGGACUGCUGUGCUUCAAAGAAAAAGAAGUCGGCUUUCCCUUGAACUUUUUCCAGGUCUAUGUCAUUUUUCACAACCUCUUGAAUGUGUUUAGAAUGUUGAAAUAAAGAAAAGUUAAUAAAUACAACUUUCAGCAACGGAUCUCUUGGCUCUCGCAUCGAUGAAGAACGCAGCGAAAUGCGAUAAGUAAUGUGAAUUGCAGAAUUCAGUGAAUCAUCGAAUCUUUGAACGCAUCUUGCGCUCCUUGGUAUUCCGAGGAGCAUGCCUGUUUGAGUGUCAUUUAAACUCUCAAACCACAUCAUUCAUUUGACGUGGCUUUGGACGUGGGGGUUGCCGGCUUUCUUCUCAGAGAGGCCUGCUCCCCUGAAAAGCAUUAGUGGUAUCUGGAGUGGAAAACCGCUAGGUGUGAUAAUACUGUCUAUGCCUUUGGUUAUGCCACAAUGUGCUGAUUACAACGGGGACAUUUUAACAAA